rnacentral:rRNA from 1 species
CUGAGUACGGCGGAACACGUGAAAUUCCGUCGGAAUCCGGGAGGACCAUCUCCCAAGGCUAAAUACUCCCUAGUGACCGAUAGUGAACCAGUACCGUGAGGGAAAGGUGAAAAGCACCCCGGAAGGGGAGUGAAACAGUUCCUGAAACCGUGUGCCUACAAGUAGUUAGAGCCCGUUAAUGGGUGAUAGCGUGCCUUUUGUAGAAUGAACCGGCGAGUUACGAUUUGUUGCAAGGUUAAGCGGAAAAAGCGGAGCCGUAGCGAAAGCGAGUCUGAAUAGGGCGCAUAAGUAACAGGUCGUAGACCCGAAACCAGGUGAUCUACCCAUGUCCAGGAUGAAGGUAAGGUAAUACUUACUGGAGGUCCGAACCCACGCACGUUGAAAAGUGCGGGGAUGAGGUGUGGGUAGCGGAGAAAUUCCAAUCGAACUUGGAGAUAGCUGGUUCUCUCCGAAAUAGCUUUAGGGCUAGCCUCGAGGUAAAGAGUCAUGGAGGUAGAGCACUGUUUGGACUAGGGGCCCUUCUCGGGUUACCGAAUUCAGAUAAACUCCGAAUGCCAUGUACUUAUACUCGGGAGUCAGACUGCGAGUGAUAAGAUCCGUAGUCGAAAGGGAAACAGCCCAGACCACCAGUUAAGGUCCCCAAAUAUAUGUUAAGUGGAAAAGGAUGUGGGGUUGCUUAGACAACCAGGAUGUUGGCUUAGAAGCAGCCACCAUUGAAAGAGUGCGUAAUAGCUCACUGGUCGAGUGACCCCGCGCCGAAAAUGUACCGGGGCUAAACAUAUUACCGAAACUGUGGAUGAACCUCUUUAGAGGUUCGUGGUAGGAGAGCGUUCUAAGGGCGGUGAAGUCAGACCGGAAGGACUGGUGGAGCGCUUAGAAGUGAGAAUGCCGGUAUGAGUAGCGAAAGAAGGGUGAGAAUCCCUUCCACCGAAUAUCUAAGGUUUCCUGAGGAAGGCUCGUCCGCUCAGGGUUAGUCGGGACCUAAGCCGAGGCCGAUAGGCGUAGGCGAUGGACAACAGGUAGAGAUUCCUGUACCAGUGCUAAUUGUUUAACCGAUGGGGUGACACAGAAGGAUAGGGAAUCGCACGAAUGGAAAUGUGCGUCCAAGCAGUGAGUGUGAGAAGUAGGCAAAUCCGCUUCUCGCGAAGCAUGAGCUGUGAUGGGGAAGGAAAUUAAGUACGGAAGUUCCUGAUUUCACGCUGUCAAGAAAAGCCUCUAGGAAGAGUAGUACUGCCCGUACCGCAAACCGACACAGGUAGAUGAGGAGAGAAUCCUAAGGUGAGCGAGAGAACUCUCGUUAAGGAACUCGGCAAAAUGACCCCGUAACUUCGGGAGAAGGGGUGCUCUAUUAGGGUGCAAGCCCGAGAGAGCCGCAGUGAAUAGGCCCAGGCGACUGUUUAGCAAAAACACAGGUCUCUGCAAA